rnacentral:rRNA from 1 species
CACCGCGGUUAAACGAGAGGCUCAAGUUGAUAGCCUUCGGCGUAAAGAGUGGUUAAGGGGAAACUAAACUAGAGUCGAAUUUUCUCAUGGCUGUUAUACGCACCCGAGAACAUGAAGCCCAAGCACGAAAGUAACUUUAAAUAUCCUGACCCCACGAAAGCUGUGAAACAAACUGGGAUUAGAUACCCCACUAUGCACAGCCGUAAACUUUGAUAAGAAUAUACAACAUUAUCCGCCUGGGUACUACGAGCGUAAGCUUAAAACCCAAAGGACUUGGCGGUGCUUUAGAUCCACCUAGAGGAGCCUGUUCUAGAACCGAUAAUCCCCGUUAAACCUCACCCCCUCUGGUCAUCCCCGCCUAUAUACCGCCGUCGUCAGCCCACCCUGUGAAGGAACUAUAGUGAGCUUAAUUGGUAGAGCCCAAAACGCCAGGUCAAGGUGUAGCAUAUGAGGGGGGAAGAAAUGGGCUACAUUUUCUGAUUAAGGAAAUACGGAUUGUAUUAUGAAAAAUUACAUGAAGGAGGAUUUAGUAGUAAGUGAAAAACAGAGUGUUUCACUGAAUACGGCCCUGAAGCGCGCACACACCGCCCGUCACUCUCCCCGAGCUUGGAUCAAAUAUUUCUAAUACCCUAAUAAAGCAAAGGGGAGGCAAGUCGUAACAUGGUAAGUG